rnacentral:lncRNA from 1 species
GCAUUUCCUUAUACUUCUUCAUAGGUUAUUAAAUUACCCUGAACUUAACUCAAGAUGUGAAUUCAAAUAUUAUUUUUAUAUAGGCAGUUUUUUCAAAUAACAGAAACUAUUGUACUCUGUAGACUUUUCACACACUUACACAGCAUAGAAGGUGCUAGUCAAAUGUUACUUUUAUUGGUGACAUUACUAUUACCUCUGACUCUGCAAAGCAGAACUUAUUCAUG